rnacentral:lncRNA from 1 species
CUCUUCCAAGCUCAUUGGUUAUUGGCUGAAUUCAAUUUCUUUUAGUCACAGAACUGGGCCCUUCAGUUUUUAGGACCCACCCAUGAUUUCCUGCCACAUGGCUCUCUCUCAGAUAUGACAGUUUACUUCUUCAAGGCCAACAGUUCGUGAUCCCAGGGUCCUAGGAUUGAAGCCCACCUGGGGAGUCUGCUCCAUGGGGAGUCUGCUUCUCCCUCUCCCUCUGCUGCUUACCCUGUCC